rnacentral:rRNA from 1 species
GACGAACGCUGGCGGCGUGCCUAAUACAUGCAAGUCGAACGCUGAAGAGAGGAGCUUGCUCUUCUUGGAUGAGUUGCGAACGGGUGAGUAACGCGUAGGUAACCUGCCUGGUAGCGGGGGAUAACUAUUGGAAACGAUAGCUAAUACCGCAUAAAAUUGAUUAUUGCAUGAUAAUUAAUUGAAAGAUGCAACUGCUUCACUACCUGAUGGACCUGCGUUGUAUUUGCUAGUUGGUGAGGUAACGGCCCACCAAGGCGACGAUACAUUGCCGACCUGAGAAGGUGGUCGGCCAAACUGGGACUGGGACACGGCCCAGGCUCCUACGGGAGGCAGCAGUAAGGAAUCUUCGGCAAUGGGGGGAACCCUGACCGAACAACGCCGCGUGGGUGAAGGAGGUUUUCGGAUCGUAAAGCUCUGUUUUUAGGGAAGAACGGGUGUGGGAGUUGAAAGUUCACACUGUGACGGUAGCUUAUCAGAAAGGGACGGCUAACUACGUG